CUGGAGACAGGUGCUGCAUGGCUGUCGUCAGCUCGUGUCGUGAGAUGUUGGGUUAAGUCCCGCAACGAGCGCAACCCUUGCCUUUAGUUGCCAGCAGUUCGGCUGGGCACUCUAAAGGGACUGCCGGUGUUAAACCGGAGGAAGGUGGGGAUGACGUCAAGUCCUCAUGGCCUUUAUGACCAGGGCUACACACGUACUACAAUGGCCGAUACAAAGAGCAGCGACACUGCGAGGUGAAGCCAAUCCCGUAAAAUCGGUCUCAGUCCGGAUUGGAGUCUGCAACUCGACUCCAUGAAGUUGGAAUCGCUAGUAAUCGUGGAUCAGCAUGCCACGGUGAAUACGUUCCCGGGCCUU
rnacentral:rRNA from 1 species